rnacentral:rRNA from 1 species
GAUGAACGCUGGCGGCGUGCCUAAUACAUGCAAGUCGAGCGAACAGACGAGGAGCUUGCUCCUUUGACGUUAGCGGCGGACGGGUGAGUAACACGUAGGUAACCUACCUAUAAGACUGGGAUAACUUCGGGAAACCGGAGCUAAUACCGGAUAAUAUUUCGAACCGCAUGGUUCGAUAGUGAAAGAUGGCUUUGCUAUCACUUAUAGAUGGACCUGCGCCGUAUUAGCUAGUUGGUAAGGUAACGGCUUACCAAGGCAACGAUACGUAGCCGACCUGAGAGGGGGAUAGGCCACACUGGAACUGAGACACGGUCCAGACUCCUACGGGAGGCAGCAGUAGGGAAUCUUCCGCAAUGGGCGAAAGCCUGACGGAGCAACGCCGCGUGAGUGAUGAAGGUCUUCGGAUCGUAAAACUCUGUUAUUAGGGAAGAACAAACGUGUAAGUAACUGUGCACGUCUUGACGGUACCUAAUCAGAAAGCCACGGCUAACUACGUG